rnacentral:rRNA from 1 species
CCCUUAUAUGUCCUGGGCUGCACGCGUGCUACACUGAUACAUACAACAAGUACCUAAUCUGAUAAGGGUAAGGCAACCUUUAAUAUGUAUCGUGAUGGGGAUAGAACUUUGCAAUUAUAGUUCUUGAACGAGGAAUUCCUAGUAAGUGCAAGUCAUCAUCUUGCAUUGAUUAUGUCCCUGCCCUUUGUACACACCGCCCGUCGCUCCUACCGAUACCGGGUGAUCCGGUGAACCUUUUGGACCGUUCGCGGAAAUAAACGUAAACCAUAUCACCUAGAGGAAGGAGAAGUCGUAACA